rnacentral:rRNA from 1 species
GAUGAACGCUGGCGGCGUGCCUAAUACAUGCAAGUAGAACGCUGAAGGAGGAGCUUGCUCUUCUGGAUGAGUUGCGAACGGGUGAGUAACGCGUAGGUAACCUGCCUUGUAGCGGGGGAUAACUAUUGGAAACGAUAGCUAAUACCGCAUGACAACAGUUAUUGCAUGAUAACUGUUUAAAAGGGGCAACUGCUCCACUACCAGAUGGACCUGCGUUGUAUUAGCUAGUUGGUGAGGUAACGGCUCACCAAGGCGACGGUACAUAGCCGACCUGAGAGGGGGAGCGGCCACACUGGGACUGAGACACGGCCCAGACUCCUACGGGAGGCAGCAGGAGGGAAUCGUCGGCAAUGGACGGAAGUCUGACCGAGCAACGCCGCGGGAGUGAAGAAGGUUGUCGGAUCGUAAAGCUCUGUUGUAAGAGAAGAACGAGUGUGAGAGUGGAAAGUUCACACUGUGACGGUAUCUUACCAGAAAGGGACGGCUAACUACGUG